CGGUUAGGAGGUGCUGGGCAUUCCUAGGAGCGCGCUGUCUGAGAGACACCAGCCUGGUGCUAGCAGGACCUUCCAAGUUUUAGGAAGUCAAGGCAGAGAGCAGCUGUCAAGGCUGAGUGGGCAAGGUGAGCAUUGAGUAGCUU